GUUUCCAGCGACUUUUCCAGGGUGUGGGGAGUGAACUUCUGCGCAGCGGAGCCAGGGCAGGGGGAGGGAUGAUUAACGCCGCGGGUCGCCCGGAGAAGCGGGCGGGGUGGGACCGAGAUUAGGGCGUCCUGCCCGCAGGGUGGCCUGGAAGGCCCCACCGCCUCCCCUUUCCCGCGCUCCGGGAGAGUGCGUGCGUGAGCCAGCACUGGCUGGGCGUGUGCAAACAGACCACGCGCGCGUGCGCUGGCGAACCGGCGGAUGCUCACACACGUGCGAGCAGGAGAGGAAAUCGGUGCCAGGCGUGGUGAAGCUGAAGAUCUUCCAGCUCCAGGAAUCCUGGUCAUGCCCCUCACCGCGUGCACGUCUCUUAUUCUCUAGGGCUCUGACCUGGACUCCAAGAUAAAUAUUUAAUGUAGAGGGAGCUUCUGAGCUACUAAAGGCCCCAACUUCGUGAUUCUCACAAAGGGAGGUGACAGCCAUGGGCAAGGACCUGGGCACCAGCUCCAUCUCUAUGGGGAUGGGGAGCUCAGUAAACAGCUUUGGAGGAGGGAGGUGGUGGCUCGAGGGAGGCCCGGCUGGAGACCGGAGCCUUUUUCUCAGCUGCUUUGGCUCUGUUGCCUAUGGAGGCCUGGUGGCCCAGCUGCUUCAGCCCUCUCUCUCUCCCCAUGUUCCAUGAUGGCCAGCUGGCCUCGUGGAUGGCAGGAUGGAAGAGGGCUGUGACCACAGCGUCAGGGGAUACCUAAGGAAACUUGACUCAUUCCUCAUUCAGUCCUGAUGUAGGGAGAAUUCUUUUUUGAAAAGCAGAUUAAGGGGAUGGAGGGAGCCAGGUUCAGAGAUUAGGCCAAGACCCAGGUAUCUGAUUUCCCAGCUCCUCUCCCAGCUUCAGCUCUGCUGCUGGCUGGCUUCCACAGCUGGUGCAGCUUCCGGGGCAAGGCUGGACAGACAGACUAGAUGGUCCAGAACAGCCUGGAGCAGAUUCUUUCCACUGCCCCGACCCCUGCGGUCUGCCCUCAAAGGGAGCUCGCUCUCAUCAAGUGUGCUACGUGACUACCUAGGCCAGCCUAGGUCAGACUGCCUUGGCCUCCUCAGCCACCUGAGCCGUAAUAAACACAGUUAUGUAACUGC